AUGAAUUCAUUGUUGUGGGAAGUACUCUGGAAUUAACACCCUUUUCUGGGGUUAGCUCUCAACCAAGGGAGCUAAAAUGAACAUCUCUGUAGGUGUUUGGUGUGCCGACCAAUAUCCAGUUCCUCCUCAGGCUUGUGGAAACCACUGAUAUCUGAGAGGGCUAAUCUAAAAGAGCCAUUGACCACUUAAUCCUCUCAGCUCUCUGAGCUCUAUUCCUGAAUUAACCAGACCACCAGGAAGCUACACUCUCCAUACGACUGCAUUCACUUCCUCCACACCACUUUCCACGUCUUCACCGAGAAGGAUGAAAGCAGGCAGUUCCGGCUCGCCAUGGUGAAAGGAAAACACAAAGAAAAUUUGGCGCUACGUUUCAAUACUAACAUGUA